rnacentral:rRNA from 1 species
AUUGAACGCUGGCGGCAGGCCUAACACAUGCAAGUCGAACGGUAACAGGAAGCAGCUUGCUGCUUUGCUGACGAGUGGCGGACGGGUGAGUAAUGUCUGGGAAACUGCCAGAUGGAGGGGGAUAACUACUGGAAACGGUAGCUAAUACCGCAUAACGUCGCAAGAGCAAAGAGGGGGACCUUAGGGCCUCUUGCCAUCGGAUGAGCCCGGAUGGGAUUAGCUAGUAGGUGGGGGAACGGCUAACCAAGGCCACGAGCACUAGCCGAUCUGAGAGGUUGACCGGCCACACUGGAACUGAGACACGGGCCAGACUCCUACGGGAGGCAGCAGUAGGGAAUCUUCCGCAAUGGGCGAAAGCCUGACGGAGCAACGCCGCGUGAGUGAUGAAGGUCUUCGGAUCGUAAAACUCUGUUAUUAGGGAAGAACAUAUGUGUAAGUAACUGUGCACAUCUUGACGGUACCUAAUCAGAAAGCCACGGCUAACUACGUG